GCAGCUUCUCAAAAAAAUAAAAUAAAAUAAAAAAAUUCUAGAGAUAGCGCCUUGGCGGCCCUCAGUCGCCAUGCCCAGAUCUCGAUCUCUCUCUCUCCACCGCCCAACCUCUGCACCGUCCACCAGAACGAAGAAAUUGAAGGUGGUUGGCCCAACAGUGCAGCAGGCUGGUGGCUUCCCUCUGCCUUUUUCCGAUGGCGGCGUCGGCGCACGAGGCUGUGAUGGCGGUGGGUGGACUGCGGCGGCGGCAGGAGCACGUGGUUGUCAUGGAGCAGGCCAGUUGGGUGCGGCCGUUACUUUUGUUUGACCUCUGUUGCAGAGCAGCAGAGGUGCUGCUCGGCGCCGCCCCUGAUGACGCAGUAGCUGUGGCCGGCCGCCGCUGAGGAUCUCAAGGCUCGAGGUGCUCGGAGGUGCUUGCUCUGUAGCUACACCUCCUCCUCCGGUAGCACCGUGAGCAGCUCCAGCAAGGGUUGGGCAGGCAGAUGCUACAUUCUCCGACGAACAGGGACGCAAUGUGAUCAUGGAGCGGCACCAGGUGACUGGAUCUUUCACCGGAGCGAGAAGAAAAGGGGGAGCUUGAUGAGAGGUGUUUAUGCACCAAAGGUGUUCGAUGAAAUUACCAAGCGACGAGCAACUCUGGUUCAUUCUUGUGGUUCAAAGUGGUACGCAAGAUUAUUGUGGGGCUACUCAUGUCAAUUGGUGUCCUGCAGUCUAACGAUGUGUCAAGUUUCAUUUGAAGUGUCGAAGCUUUUGACAACAACAAGUCAUGACAACAAUAGUACCACAACAACAAGAUCACCUUCCUACGAGCAAUAGAUCCUAGGCAAGGUAGUGCUACAUGGCUUGUGGCUUGGAAUUGCUGAGGCAACGGUAUGCAUGGAUGUGUGCGUUACUUAUGCUAUAUAUCAUACGGAUGGUGUAUAGCACAGUCCGUAAAUAAAUAGAUAAAAAAUCGCUUUUGGAUUUAUUAGGCAAUUAAUAACAUACCCAAAAGCAGAUCGGCUUUCUAGAAUUCCACCACAAUACCUCACAGUUCCUGAACUCCCAAACGUACCCUGCAUCCUAACCACCGGCGACUGGUCAGGCGAAAACCCUCAAUCUUCCCAAGCGGCGUACGGAAGCCGGGAGCGAGCACCUUCUCGGCGGAAAUGCUGGCAACCUAAGAUUUCCGCUACUUCGUCGCUUCCCCACGAGCCCAUCAGAGAUUCUCUUUCGCUCCCAUGGAAAUGGAAACAGACUGGUCGAAGCUUCCUAUGGAUGUGCUCACUUUGAUCUUUGCUAAGCUUGGGCCUAUCGAGAUCCUCAUGGGUGCGGGCCUCGUUUGCCACCCAUGGCUUGAGGCUGCCAAGCUGCCUGAUCUCCUCUGGCGGUCCCUGGACAUGAAGCACCUGAACAGCAGCAACAAUGCCGUGCUCAAGAACGAACAUUUCCUGCGCGCAAUGGCGAGGAUGGCCGUGGACCGUGCCGAUGGACGGCUCGAGACGUUCGCGGCGGACAAUUUCGUCGACGCCGAGCCAAAAGGUCGCCAUCUCUCAAGAGCCUUAAGCUCGCCAACUGCAGCAUCACCAACACCAUACUGAUGGAUACCGUCGAUAGCUGUCCUCGCCUAGAGCUUCUUCAACUGAGCGACUGCUUCAUUUUCAAUCUCAACUGUUCCCUGUGCGCCAGGAUCAGGAAGCGGACGUUCAUUUGGAGCGCACGUGGGACUUGUAUUGAAUGUGGGAAACGUCUAAAGACAAACACAUCUCGAGAUGAAGUCAAAGAAUGGCUUGAUUCAACUUUCACUUUUUGAGAGUUGAUGGACUAAAUUGCUCUUGGAUGACAAGUUCAUGUACCGCGGACAUCUUUUACUUAUGUUCCAGAUUUAGAAUAUAGUAUUGCUUUCAGAUUUUUACCAGAUUUAUUUAUGUUCUUUAUUUCGUUUUUCAUUACCCCGUUUAAUUGGUCGCCCUCUAACGAGGUGGGCUGGUAGCCAUCAACGUAUUUAAACAACUAGCAGCAUGUUCUAGGAGGAAGUACGAACAUGUUAGGAAUAUGACUUUGAUAGUUAUAUAUGCUACUGAAAACAUACAUGAUAGUUUUCCUUAA